rnacentral:rRNA from 1 species
UACAGAGGGCGCGAGCGUUGUCCGGAAUCACUGGGCGUAAAGGGCGCGUAGGCGGCCACCGCAAGUCGGUUGUGAAAUCUCUGGGCUUAACCCAGAAAGGUCAAUCGAUACUGCGGGGCUAGAGUGCAGAAGGGGCAACUGGAAUUCUCGGUGUAGCGGUGAAAUGCGUAGAUAUCGAGAGGAACACCUGCGGCGAAGGCAGGUCUCUGGGCUGACACUGACGCUCAUGCACGAAAGCGUGGGGAGCAAACAGG